CUGGCCCCUUUCCUGGGUCCUCCGCUCCCUCCCCUUCCCAGGCCUUCGAACCAUCCCCAUCCCUAGUCUAACUUCCUUGGGGCCUCCACGGACUGCGGGUCCCUAACCAUUUUGUCUUAUUCCCUUAUACCCCGCCCCAUUUGUUCCGUUCUACCUUCUUCCAGGCCCCAACCACACUAUCAAGACCCUACCUCAAAGCUGCCAAGUCCCUGGUGUGGAAUGGGAGCUCCUGGCUAAUAAUGGAGCGACAGAGGCCUCAGUUUCCCCUGCCCACUUUCUCAGGAAGGCCCCGCCCCCUUGGCCUUCUGAGUAGCGCCCUACAAUGCGAUCCCCCCCUGCCCUCAUCCCCGGGGUCACCAUCCAGGCCCUCUUCUACCUGCUGUGGCCCCGCCCAGCUCGUGAGCUCUAAUCCCUGUCCCCGUGGGCGCGCCCACCCUAUCGCUCCCCAAUGUCCCCAGCAGUAGUCGAUAAAUUUACACACGUGGUCUUGGCCUUGCAGAAGCUGGGGAUCUGCAGUGACACCACUAUCAGAUACCCUGUGUGGCCCAUCACAUCAACGAGGGCUCAGCAUUCAUCACCGUUGGCCUAGUGGCCAUCCUCAUGCCCUGCCCUCAGCAGUGAUCCCACCCCAUCCAGUGUGGCCCCAGAGGUCAGCCCGGAGAGAUGAUCCAUGCCCAGGGCCUGCAACUGAGCUCGCAGGCCCUCAUGAGCAGCACCUACGUGGUCAUGGUCUACAAGCAGCUGGACACCUUCAUGUUUGCCAGCAUGGCCAGAUGCUCCUGACUGGCAUUGCCAAGGUCACAGGCCACCUGCAGCCCCACUUCCUGGCUGUGUGCUUGCCUGACCCAGCCUCCUUCCACUGUGAGAGUGGUUACAUCACUAAACACAACCGCACCGGGCACUGGAGGAGGUCCUCAAGGCCAGGCAAGUGAGUGAGUGGGGAGGGGACCCAGGAGGCAUCUACACCCCACCCCAGCCCCAGCUGAUGUCAGCCCUCCCCUGCCCAUCUCCCAGAAAAUCCUUCUAUUCUGAGCACGCUUUUGGGAUGUACUCUGUGUUGUAUCUGGUGGUGAGUGUUGGCAGGAGGCAGGUCACACACCCAGCAAGGCCAAAGAAUGUGCCAUUGUUCUCUGGGCCCCCAGCAGUGCUCGGUGCCAGCAGUGCUGGGCAGUUUCCAUAGAGCUUAUGUGUGCCCCUGGAGUUGGAAGGCAAGAAUGGGGAGGGCCUGUCUCUUCUUAAGGCUCAUUCAGUGUCCUGUGCUGGAACAGCAAUUUCCAGAACCCUCUGUCUCCCCCUCCCUGCAGCUGGAGAGGGCCCGUGCCAGGCCGGGUCCAUGCCCAAGGCCCGGCCCCAUCGGGGCAAAGGGAAGGGAAAUCCCACCCAGCUGAGGUGUGGGCCUGAGGGCUGGCUGGUGAGGUGGUAGGAGGCACCGGGGAGAGGGGGAGCCUCCGGAAAGGAGUCUGACCUGUGGCCCCAGUGGACAAAGAGCGCAGACUCAGGCGGCGGAAUGGGAUGGCACACAUCGGAGCCAGCCCAGAGUCCCCGUACUGUGACACCGACAGAGGCCCAGGCCACGGAGCACGUGAUGGUCACACAGCUCACACCAGCAACAUUGUCUUCCUGAAAGACAGUCAUUCAACUGCCAGCCUUACUUUCUGUUUUUAAGACCAGGUUAAAGUAACUGCUGCCUCCUAUAGUAAUAAAAAAGCAGGGGCUUUGGAGCUGGGAGGUACGGGCUUUAUUCCCAGCUUUAACUGAAUGUGACAUGGUGAGAUACUCAACCUCCUCCAGCCUCCCUGUCCUCUCCUGUAAAAUGGGCACGCGAACAGCACCUGCCUCUGUAACAUCGUGGUUUCAUGAGUUAAAACAUAAACAAGUUGAUACACUCAAAGGACUUAAUGUCAAACAGGAUCUGGCCUAAAUGUCAAACAUUACUAAUGGACAAAACAGACUUCCUCCGUCCCCUGGGGUGGACUGGGGUGUGCGUUGCAUGUCAGCAAUGCUGUGGAGCUCCCAGAGCAGGUGGCAAUGUGGCCCCCGAUAUGACAGGUCACACGCAACGAGGAGGCGGGCCUUUCCCUGGUUUUGCAGACCGCAGAAUUAAUGAGCAGAAUGUUCUGGAUCUCCAGGAAUUCCCCCACCUCGUGAGUGUUCCCCAAAUGCUGAUGCCUGCUUUCUGCUUCAAUGGACAACAGCCACUUUCCUGUUCUGUUCAUACCAAGGAGGUAAAUUAACCUGGUGUUUAAAAAAGGGAUUUUUUGUUGUUGUUGUUCUGUUUUCCAUCUCAAAGCUAGGAGCCACAGUGCCUACUUUUUGAGGACUCCCUGGUAAGGCUGACUUGGUUUGAUUGGCAUUCUGACACUGGCAGAACUGGGCACAGUAUGAGCCUGCCAUAGGGACCCACCUAACUGCUUAGGGAACCCUCCCUCCAACUCUGAGCUCUUUCACAGCGAUGCUUCGGGGGCCACAGCCAGUACCCUCUUCAGAUGCUGAAAUCCAUUUCCAUACAAAAGUGGCAAGGUAGAUUGUCCUGCCUGACCCCGUGGCUGCCUGGGACUGGACAGACAGGAGCCUUGAUGGCCUGCUGGGUGGGAGGUGACACUGUGGUACCAGAGAGGGUCUGCUUACCUGCAAGCUGUGGGCCCACCUGUCACUCGAUCCCCUAGGAGAGGAGCCCAGGAGAGGCAAUGCCGGGUCCCAGCAGGCCCAGGUGUCAGAAGGCUGCCCCUGCUCCCCAUUCCCUCCCCCUGCCCCACCUCUGCCCCUGUUCCCGAGGGCUGUCACGGUGAUGCUCCGACUGAGGGGAGACUGGGGCCACCUCGUUGCACCCUCCUCACCACCCAAGAGGGAAGGCAUUCUUGAUGACCCCAUCUGGGAGAUGAGGAAUUCCACCCCAGAGAGGCGGAGUGGCCCAUGCAAGGUCUCACAACUAAUAAAGGCGAAGGUGGGGCUGUGACUCGCGGUAUAUUGUAACACCCAGCACAAAGGUGCUGAUCUGGGGGGAGCUCUCUAUCCCCCCCAAUAGGUAAUCCAGCUAUAAAUCUUCCUCCUUGAUGUUCGACCCCAAGCAAGGCCAGAGGUGACCCCACCUGCCACAGACCCAGAGCCCCACACAGCUGACCAGGGGAGGCCCACAGCACCC